GGGGGGGUGGCUCAGUGGUAGAGCGCUUGCCUGGCAUGCAUGGGGCACUGGGUUGGAUCCCCCGCACCA
rnacentral:tRNA from 1 species